rnacentral:rRNA from 1 species
AAUAGAUACCCGGGUAGUCCACGCCGUAAACGAUGAGUGCUAGGUGUUAGGGGGUUUCCGCCCCUUAGUGCUGCAGCUAACGCAUUAAGCACUCCGCCUGGGGAGUACGGUCGCAAGACUGAAACUCAAAGGAAUUGACGGAGGCCCGCACAAGCGGUGGAGCAUGUGGUUUAAUUCGAAGCAACGCGAAGAACCUUACCAGGUCUUGACAUCCCGCUGACCGCCAUGGAGACCAUGGCCUUCCCUUCGGGGACAGCGGUGACAGGUGGUGCAUGGUUGUCGUCAGCUCGUGUCGUGAGAUGUUGGGUUAAGUCCCGCAACGAGCGCAACCCUUGUCCUUAGUUGCCAUCAUUCAGGUUGGGCACUCUAAGGAGACUGCCGUACAAAUACGGAGGAAGGUGGGGAUGACGUCAAAUCAUCAUGCCCCCUUAUGACCUGGGCUACACACGUGCUACAAUGGGUGGUACAAAGGGCGGCAAACCCGCGAGGGGGAGCGAAUCCCAAAAAGCCACUCUCAGUUCGGAUUGCAGGCUGCAACC